ACUGCUCAGUAACACGUAGCUAACCUGCCCUUAGGUCAAAGAUAACCUCGGGAAACUGAGGAUAAACUUUGAUAGAAAAUGUUUUCUGGAAUGAGAUAUUUUUUAAAUUCGUGCCUAAGGAUGGGGCUGCGGCUGAUUAGCUAGUUGUUGGUGUAACGGACUAACAAGGCGAUGAUCAGUAAGGGCUCUUAGCGGAGAGGCCCUGAGAAGGAAUCUGAGACACUAUUCCUAGCUCUACGGGGUGCAGCAGGGGAGGAAAUUUUCCAAUGCUCGUAAGAGUGAGAAAAUUAGCCAGAGUGUUUUCUUUACGAAAACUUUUAUCUACUGUAAAAAGGUAGAUGAAUAAGGACUGGGCAAGACCGGUGCCAGCCGCCGCGGUAAUCCCGGCGGUCCGAGUCGCAUCCACAAUUAUUGGGUCUAAAACAUUCGUAGCUUGUUUUGUAAGUCUCUUGUGAAAUCCCAUAUCUCAAGUAUGGGGCGUGCAAGAGAUACUGCUUAACUAGAGACUGGAAGACGCAAAGAGUACGAUGGAGGUAGUGGUAAAAUAUGUUAAUCUUCAUCGGACUAACAAUGGCGAAGGCACUUUGCGAGUACAGAUCUGACAGUGAGGAAUGAAGGCUAGGGGCGCAAAAGGGAUUAGAUACCCCUGUAGUCCUAGCAGUAAACACUGCUCACUAAACAUUAGCACCUCCUCGAGAGGUGCUAGUGCUGUAGCGAAGGCGAAGAGUGAGCUACCUGGGAAGUAUAGUCGCAAGACCGAAACUUAAAGGAAUUGGCGGGGGAGCAC
rnacentral:rRNA from 1 species